UUUGCGUCGAAGGUAUACCGGUAAGGAGUGCUGGAGCGAAUAGAAGUGAGCAUGCAGGCAUGAGUAGCGAUAAUUAAUGUGAGAAUCAUUAACGCCGUAAACCCAAGGUUUCCUACGCGAUGCUCGUCAUCGUAGGGUUAGUCGGGUCCUAAGUCGAGUCCGAAAGGGGUAGACGAUGGCAAAUUGGUUAAUAUUCCAAUACCAACAUUAGUGUGCGAUGGAAGGACGCUUAGGGCUAAGGGGGCUAGCGGAUGGAAGUGCUAGUCUAAGGUCGUAGGAGGUUAUACAGGCAAAUCCGUAUAACAAUACUCCGAGAACUGAAAGGCUUUUUGAAGUCUUCGGAUGGAUAGAAGAACCCCUGAUGCCGUCGAGCCAAGAAAAGUUUCUAAGUUUAGCUAAUGUUGCCCGUACCGUAAACCGACACAGGUGGGUGGGAUGAGUAUUCUAAGGCGCGUGGAAGAACUCUCUUUAAGGAACUCUGCAAAAUAGCACCGUAUCUUCGGUAUAAGGUGUGGUUCGCUUCGUAUUAGGAUUUACUCCGAAAGCGAAGAAACUUACAACAAAGAGUCCCUCCCGACUGUUUACCAAAAACACAGCACUCUGCUAACUCGUAAGAGGAUGUAUAGGGUGUGACGCCUGCCCGGUGCUCGAAGGUUAAUUGAUGGGGUUAGCAUUAGCGAAGCUCUUGAUCGAAGCCCGAGUAAACGGCGGCCGUAACUAUAACGGUCCUAAGGUAGCGAAAUUCCUUGUCGGUUAAAUACCGACCUGCAUGAAUGGCGUAACGAGAUGGGAGCUGUCUCAAAGAGGGAUCCAGUGAAAUUGUAGUGGAGGUGAAAAUUCCUCCUACCCGCGGCAAGACGGAAAGACCCCGUGGACCUUUACUACAGCUUGACACUGCUAUUUGGAUAAGAAUGUGCAGGAUAGGUGGGAGGCUUUGAGUAUAUGACGCCAGUUGUAUAUGAGCCAUUGUUGAGAUACCACUCUUUCUUAUUUGGGUAGCUAACCAGCUUGAGUUAUCCUCAAGUGGGACAAUGUCUGGUGGGUAGUUUGACUGGGGCGGUCGCCUCCCAAAUAAUAACGGAGGCUUACAAAGGUUGGCUCAGAACGGUUGGAAAUCGUUCGUAGAGUAUAAAGGUAUAAGCCAGCUUAACUGCAAGACAUACAAGUCAAGCAGAGACGAAAGUCGGUCUUAGUGAUCCGGUGGUUCUGCGUGGAAGGGCCAUCGCUCAAAGGAUAAAAGGUACCCCGGGGAUAACAGGCUGAUCUCCCCCAAGAGCUCACAUCGACGGGGAGGUUUGGCACCUCGAUGUCGGCUCAUCGCAUCCUGGGGCUGGAGCAGGUCCCAAGGGUAUGGCUGUUCGCCAUUUAAAGCGGUACGCGAGCUGGGUUCAGAACGUCGUGAGACAGUUCGGUCCCUAUCUGCCGUGGGCGUAAGAAGAUUGAAGAGAUUUGACCCUAGUACGAGAGGACCGGGUUGAACAAACCACUGGUGUAGCUGUUGUUCUGCCAAGAGCAUCGCAGCGUAGCUAAGUUUGGAAAGGAUAAACGCUGAAAGCAUCUAAGCGUGAAGCCAACUCUAAGAUGAAUCUUCUCUAAGCUCUCUAGAAGACUACUAGUUUGAUAGGCUGGGUGUGUAAUGGAUGAAAGUCCUUUAGCUGACCAGUACUAAUAGAGCGUUUGGCUUAUCUUUAAUAAAGCAU
rnacentral:rRNA from 2 species